GACGAACCGUGCGAACGUUGUUCGGAAUCACUGGGCUUAAAGGGCGCGUAGGCGGCUCGCGAGGUCGGGGGUGAAAUCCCACGGCUUAACCGUGGAAGUGCCUUCGAUACCGGCGGGCUGGAGGAAGGUAGGGGUGCGCGGAACUUCUGGUGUAGAGGUGAAAUUCGUAGAUAUCAGGAGGAACACCGGUGGCGAAGGCGGCCAUCUGGACGACAACUGACGCUGAGACGCGAAAGCGUGGGGAGCAAACAGG
rnacentral:rRNA from 1 species